rnacentral:rRNA from 1 species
AACUAAAACUAGCUCGAAAAAUAACCAUACAAAACUACUUCUACAAGCUAAAACAAAACAUUUACCACCAUUAGAGUA